CCUACGGGAGGCAGCAGUGAGGAAUAUUGGUCAAUGGACGCAAGUCUGAACCAGCCAUGCCGCGUGCAGGAAGACGGCUCUAUGAGUUGUAAACUGCUUUUGUACGAGGGUAAACGCAGAUACGCGUAUCUGUCUGAAAGUAUCGUACGAAUAAGGAUCGGCUAACUCCGUGCCAGCAGCCGCGGUAAUACGGAGGAUUCAAGCGUUAUCCGGAUUUAUUGGGUUUAAAGGGUGCGUAGGCGGUCGGAUAAGUUAGAGGUGAAAUCCCGAGGCUCAACUUCGGAAUUGCCUCUGAUACUGUUCGGCUUGAGAGUAGUUGCGGUAGGCGGAAUGUAUGGUGUAGCGGUGAAAUGCUUAGAGAUCAUACAGAACACCGAUUGCGAAGGCAGCUGACCAAGCUACUUCUGACGUUGAGGCACGAAAGCGUGGGGAGCAAACAGGAUUAGAUACCCCUGUAGUC
rnacentral:rRNA from 1 species